rnacentral:rRNA from 1 species
UUGGAGGGCAAGUCUGGUGCCAGCAGCCGCGGUAAUUCCAGCUCCAAUAGCGUAUAUUAAAGUUGUUGCAGUUAAAAAGCUCGUAGUUGAAUUUCGGGAUCAAUUUGUUGGUCGUGCCUCGGUACGUACUGGCAUUAUUGGUUUCUACCUUCUGAAGAACCUUGAUGUCAUUAAUUUGGUGUCUUGGGGAAUCAGGACUGUUACUUUGAAAAAAUUAGAGUGUUUAAAGCAGGCAUACGCUUGAAUACAUUAGCAUGGAAUAAUGAAAUAGGACGUUUGAUUCUAUUUUGUUGGUUUCUAGGAUCGACGUAAUGAUUAAUAGGGAUAGUUGGGGGCAUUAGUAUUCAAUUGUCAGAGGUGAAAUUCUUGGAUUUAUUGAAGACUAACUACUGCGAAAGCAUUUGCCAAGGAUGUUUUCAUUAAUCAAGAACGAAAGUUAGGGGAUCGAAGACGAUCAGAUACCGUCGUAGUCUUAACCAUAAACUAUGCCGACUAGGGAUCGGACGAAGUUAAUUUAUAAAUGACGCGUUCGGCGCCUUACGGGAAACAGUC